GACGAACGCUGGCGGCGUGCUUAACACAUGCAAGUCGGACGGAAAGGCCCUGCUUUUGUGGGGUGCUCGAGUGGCGAACGGGUGAGUAACACGUGAGUAACCUGCCCUUGACUUUGGGAUAACUUCAGGAAACUGGGGCUAAUACCGGAUAGGAGCUCCUGCUGCAUGGUGAGGGUUGGAAAGUUUCGGCGGUUGGGGAUGGACUCGCGGCUUAUCAGCUUGUUGGUGGGGUAGUGGCUUACCAAGGCUUUGACGGGUAGCCGGCCUGAGAGGGUGACCGGCCACAUUGGGACUGAGAUACGGCCCAGACUCCUACGGGAGGCAGCAGUGGGGAAUAUUGCACAAUGGGCGGAAGCCUGAUGCAGCAACGCCGCGUGCGGGAUGACGGCCUUCGGGUUGUAAACCGCUUUCGCCUGUGACGAAGCGUGAGUGACGGUAAUGGGUAAAGAAGCACCGGCUAACUACGUG
rnacentral:rRNA from 1 species